ensembl:processed_transcript AV026068 expressed sequence AV026068
GAUGAGACCUUCAGUUUGUGCCCACACUCAUUUGCAGCAACCCUAACAGAGAUUGUGAAGAUUUUCAAAGUGGGGCACCUCGAUUUCUCGAAUCUGUGGUGUGGCGAAUAUCCGUGUUCCUCCUGCUUAACUAGCCUGUUUGAAGGCACAGUUCAUUCUCGAGCAAUUCGUCACCUCCUGGGGGUCUUCUCUUCCCGUCUACAGGAGAGUGUGACUUCAGAAAGAACUUCGGAUUGGCCAAGGCAGGUCUGAUUCUAUUUAUUCUAAAGACAGAGUUGGAGAUGGGCUACCAUUGGUGUUGAUUGAGAUGACAAGCAGUCACCUGAGCCCAUACAGCUGGGUUCACAGAUGUGGCUACUCUUGCUAGCCAGCUCGCACUGUGGAAAUUCUAGGGAACUGACUGCAGUCCUCAUGCUUGGAGUCAAACACUUUAACCACUGCACACGUUUAUGUAAUAGGAUUGACAUAUGAGAAUCAGAGAAAUGAAUGAAAGAUUAGAGUGGGAGAAAGUGCUUGCUGCCAAGCUUGAUGACCUAAAUUGAAUCCUGGAACCUACACGACAGAAAGAGAGAGCUGACUGCUGAAAGAUGUCCUCAGAUCUUCACAUAUGCACAGUGGCACCUAUCCAACCAUGCACAUAGUAUAUUAAAAAUUAUUUUUUAAAAAA